rnacentral:rRNA from 1 species
CCUGCACGAAUGGCGUAAUGAUGGCCAGGCUGUCUCCACCCGAGACUCAGUGAAAUUGAACUCGCUGUGAAGAUGCAGUGUACCCGCGGCAAGACGGAAAGACCCCGUGAACCUUUACUAUAGCUUGACACUGAACAUUGAGCCUUGAUGUGUAGGAUAGGUGGGAGGCUUUGAAGUGUGGACGCCAGUCUGCAUGGAGCCGACCUUGAAAUACCACCCUUUAAUGUUUGAUGUUCUAACGUGGACCCGUGAUCCGGGUUGCGGACAGUGUCUGGUGGGUAGUUUGACUGGGGCGGUCUCCUCCUAAAGAGUAACGGAGGAGCACGAAGGUUGGCUAAUCCUGGUCGGACAUCAGGAGGUUAGUGCAAUGGCAUAAGCCAGCUUGACUGCGAGCGUGACGGCGCGAGCAGGGGCGAAAGCAGGUCAUAGUGAUCCGGUGGUUCUGAAUGGAAGGGCCAUCGCUCAACGGAUAAAAGGUACUCCGGGGAUAACAGGCUGAUACCGCCCAAGAGUUCAUAUCGACGGCGGUGUUUGGCACCUCGAUGUCGGCUCAUCACAUCCUGGGGCUGAAGUAGGUCCCAAGGGUAU